ACAAGCAGACUAUUCCUGACUGUAUUGUUGUUUGUUUCCUCGAUUCGCUCUCAUUUCAAGCUUUGUGAAUAGAAAUAGUUGGGAUUAUUCAUUCUGAGCUGGGAAAAAUCUGAUUGAUUUUGAUAUCACAAGAACGGUUACUGGUAAAAGUGUUAGCCAGAACCCAUUAUUUUUACGAGUGUAAGAAGAAUGGCCAAGUGGAUUUUCCUAGAUGAUGGUGUUACAGCCAUCCAUGAUGAGACAGGGGAAGUGUACAAGUUCGAGCCAACAGUAAAAUGCAAUGGGCAAGGGCAGGCUACUCAAAAUGUAACGAAUGACUCUUACAACUUGAAAGCGAAGCAGGAGAAGCCUUUGGUUACAAAUACUGUGAAGUCUGUCACUUCAGAUCCUGUCAAAAAAUAAAUUA